GGAGGGGUUUGGAGGGCUGGGAUCCUGCCGCUUGUGCUGCGGCUGGCGGCGUGCGGGGGAGGCUCCGCCCUUCCCCCCUUCGCC
rnacentral:tRNA from 1 species